rnacentral:rRNA from 1 species
UACGGAGGGCGCAAGCGUUGUUCGGAAUCACUGGGCGUAAAGCGCGUGUAGGCGGCUCUGCAAGUCGGGUGUGAAAUCCCGAGGCUCAACCUCGGAACUGCACUCGAUACUGCUUGGCUCGAGUCCCGGAGAGGGUGGCGGAAUUCCCGGUGUGGGGGUGAAAUCCGUAGAUAUCGGGAGGAACACCAGUGGCGAAGGCGGCCACCUGGACGGUGACUGACGCUGAGAUGCGAAAGCGUGGGGAGCAAACAGG